GUUGAAGUAUCCGAUGGCAAAGACUCACUACAAGGGUGGAUGUUAGCAAUAGUCAUUUCCUCGGUUUUUGUCCUGGUUAUUUUGGUCGCAACAACCCUUUAUUGCUGUCUGCGAACACCUAAGGAAACCGCUAGUAAGAACACAUUCACAUCGAGGCAGUCGAAAGAAAAAUCCGUGUUGUGGCAAAGUGGGGGAAUUAAUAACAGUCACUUUCCGAACUUAAAGCAAGUACGCGAGCAUGGCCAGAAAUACGACAAUCCUAAGACUGACUGGACGAUGCGACCAGGAUUGCGUGCAUCAGCUAUGGCAUGGACAAGUUUGAAGUUCGUCGGUGUAUGACCCGAAAGCGAUACAUACAGUUUAAUGCGAGCUUAUUUAUUUGUAACCGACAACAACCAGUUCACUGUUUGUCAUGGUUACUUUCUGUGUGUAUCUAUAAAGUGUAUGUCAUCAAUGUUUAUUAAAGUAAUUAGUAUAGUUUGCA